GGUUAAGCGACUAAGCGUACACGGUGGAUGCCCUGGCAGUCAGAGGCGAUGAAGGACGUGCUAAUCUGCGAAAAGCGUCGGUAAGGUGAUAUGAACCGUUAUAACCGGCGAUGUCCGAAUGGGGAAACCCAGUGCAAUUCGUUGCACUAUCGUUAACUGAAUACAUAGGUUAACGAGGCGAACCGGGGGAACUGAAACAUCUAAGUACCCCGAGGAAAAGAAAUCAACCGAGAUUCCCCCAGUAGCGGCGAGCGAACGGGGAGCAGCCCAGAGUCUGAAUCAGCUUGUGUGUUAGUGGAACGGUCUGGAAAGUCCGACGGUACAGGGUGAUAGUCCCGUACACCAAAAUGCACAGGCUGUGAACUCGAAGAGUAGGGCGGGACACGUGGUAUC
rnacentral:rRNA from 1 species